CGUAGGGUGCGAGCGUUAAUCGGAAUUACUGGGCGUAAAGCGUGCGCAGGCGGUUUGUUAAGAUAGGCGUGAAAUCCCCGGGCUCAACCUGGGAACUGCGCUUAUGACUGGCAAGCUAGAGUACGGCAGAGGGGGGUGGAAUUCCACGUGUAGCAGUGAAAUGCGUAGAGAUGCGGAGGAACACCGAUGGCGAAGGCAAUCCCCUGGGCCUGCACUGACGCUCAUGCACGAAAGCGUGGGGAGCAAACAGGAUUAGAUACCCUGGUAGUCCACGCCCUAAACGAUGUCAACUGGUUGUUGGGUCUUCACUGACUCAGUAACGAAGCUAACGCGUGAAGUUGACCGCCUGGGGAGUACGGCCGCAAGGUUG
rnacentral:rRNA from 1 species